rnacentral:rRNA from 1 species
UGGCGGACGGGUGAGUAAUGUCUGGGAAACUGCCUGAUGGAGGGGGAUAACUACUGGAAACGGUAGCUAAUACCGCAUAACGCCGCAAGACCAAAGAGGGGGGACCUUGGGCCUCUUGCCAUCGGAUGUGCCCAGAUGGGAUUAGCUAGUAGGUGGGGUAACGGCUCACCUAGGCGACGAUCCCUAGCUGGUCUGAGAGGAUGACCAGCCACACUGGAACUGAGACACGGUCCAG